UAUUAUUAUUAUUAUUAUUAUUAUUAUUAUUAUUAUUUUGUGUGGUGCUGAGGAUUGAAACCAGGGCCUUGUGCAUGCACGGCAAGCACUCUAUCAAUAAGCUAUAUCCCCAGCCCCAAAAGAAAAGGUAUGUUGAGACUCAUUAACUGUAGGUUUAGUGGAAUGUACUCAUGUGGCCUGCAGUAACCUCCAGGCACAGUUAAGUUACUGCUUGCCAACCUGCGCUGAAAUGCUUUUCAGAAAUAUCUUUAACUGCCCACUGUACUACCUCACCUGGGAUGGCCACACAAAGGUAGGGGUCACAAACUGCUUGUCAUGCAAUUAAUAAUUUUUUAAGUACCAUUCUAUUUUUCUGGGUUUAGGGUAUUUAUGGUAUAUUUUCUAAAAAAAAUUUUUUAAAUAUGUAAUUUAAUUUGAUUUGCCUAUGUUUUUUACAAAAAUUAAAAGAAACAUGCAGAAAACCAGGCAAACUUCUACCUUUAAUUUAAAAAGAAAAAGAGAAGAAAGAAAACUACUGUCAGAAGUGCCCUUCCUAUUUGCUUAGAGCUCAGAGGUCCAGUUCACAGGUAGCCAGAUAAUCCCUUGUUUGUCUUCCUAAAGGGAAAUUUUUCAUUUUUUCCCCAGUACUAAGAAUUGAACCCAGGGAUACUCCAAUACUGGGGUUAUAUCCCCAGCCCUUUUUAUUUCUUAUUUUGAGGCAGGCUCACUAAAUUGCCCUGGCUGGCCUUGAACUUGCAAUCCUCUGGCCUUGGCCUCCUAAAUUGCUGAAAUUACAGACAUGAGCCACUGCACCUGGCAAAAGUAGGAAAGACAAAUGCACUAUAUGAUAAUGGUCUCUACAAAGUCAUCAAAGUCAGAAUUUCCUAUACCUAAGUAUUGGUGUCAUCUCUCCUCAAUUACAUCACAAAUUAACAGAUUUAUCUCGACUCACUAUGGACAGUCUUAUAAUACAAUCUUUCACACUAGCGCAAGUGUUUUCAGGGAACAGGUUUCUACAAGAAUUGAUGUAUUAAAGGCUAUGCACACUCAGGUUGUUCUCCAUUGUUACUAUGCGCCUAUACAUUGGGAAAUUAUGAAGCCAAAAAAUAUAAUGAUGACAAGACAUAUGGCAUGAUUUUCUUGCUUCAGAGUCCUUUCCAUUUUUUCUUUUUUAAAUUUUUUUGAUAAGCAGGUACUGCCUUUAUAAUUUUUAAAUAUUUUAAUUUUUAAAUACUAACACAAAUAUGCCAAUCCUUGAAGAAGAAACUCUGUCUUUUGCUAUUAAUAAAAGUUCUAACCAGCUGGGCAUGGUGUUGCAUGCUAUAAUUCCAGAUACUUAGAGGCUAAGGCAGGAGGAUCAUAAGUUUGAGGCAGCACAGGCAACUUAACAAGACCCUGUCUCAGAACAAAAAUUAAAAAGGGCUAGGGAUGUAACGUGCACCAGGUCCUGAGUUCCAUCCCCAACAAUGGGGGGAGAAAAAAAAAGUUUUAACUAACAUAAAGGUACUAUUUUCACCUCUCCAGGACUCAUUUCUGAAAUAGACACCAUCAUUAUGACUUUAGAAUUACUAUUUUUCUUGGCCUGCGCUGACAAUGAAUGUCUCUGUCCCUGACAUCACAUUAAUUCAGUGAUUUCUGCCUUGCUUCUGCCCUUGCAUAUUUCUAGCCCUUCCUAGAACAAGCCUAAGGUCAGGCUCAUAAAGAUCUACUUCCUGGCUGCCCAGGACAUCAGAGGAUUCUAAUGGCUCCUAUAUUUGCUCCCUAUUUACUGCUAUGAGGCAACAGUGUUCUUUAGAUAGUUGGUGCAAAAAACCAUAAGGCCCAAUUUGUAAAAGUACUAUGGGUGCUGGACUGGGGCUUUGAGGAUGAGUAGAAAGGACUUUUGGGGUGAGUAUCUAUGUACUGAGUGCCAAGCAUGUGCCAAUCUCUAUUGUGGGCACUGCUCUGACAGAGCCUAUAUCUGGAGUUGAAAUGUUAGUGAGUAUGUAAUUAUUUCAUUAUAACUGCAUUAAGUGUUAUAAAUGUAAAGUGGUGCUAUUAAGUCCUGCAGUUAAAAAAAAAAAAAAAAACUUUGUUUACCUGUGUUUCCUAAAUUUACCUCACAAAUGCCCCUCCCAGCCCCACAGACUUUAUUUUUAGAGUAGUUUUAUGUCCACAGCCAAGCUGAGUUGCAUAUGCCUUCUGCCCCAGCAUGGGUGCUGCUUCCUGGACUCUCACAACCUGCUCCAUUGUGAUACUUUUGUUACCAUAGGUAAACCAACAUUGACAUGUCAUUAUCAACCAGUCAACAGCUUGCAUUAGGGCCUUCUUGUUUGUUCUUAAUAUAGCAAGGAAUUAACACUGAGACUCACAGGUAUGGGGAGCCUAUACAGUUUCUCAGAGGAAAGUGGCACCAUUGGAUAAUUGUUGUGCAUGAGAGGUUCACUAGUUCUCUGGCAGAUUCUCCUUGUCUGACAAGAAAUCUGUCCUCAUCUUUGGAAGUUUAUUUGGUCAAGGUGCCACAGACAUCACCCUUGCCCAGCGAAGUGCAAAACAACAUUUAAACUGGUCUGAUAGCCACCCAUCUUCCUCAUCCCAUCCACCCUGAAUCCAGACCCUGGUUAAUUGAAAAGCAUCACUUUCUCUGUAUUUCUCAAACAUAUUCAAUAACUCCAGCAGUGGUUUUCCAAUACCAUCAUCCAUAGAGCCCGUUUGGUGAUGGCAAUUGAAUAUCAGUUCUGACAUACAUCCAAACUAAAAAUCUCAACUUCUUUUAAAGAGUAUUGGGUUCUGUGAUGAGCUAGAAGUGAAAUGUCCAGUCUAAAUGGGCUAGCAACGACUCAGCUCCAGAGGUUUGUUGCCAUGUGUCCCCAUUUUUAAGGAAAACAGAAUAAACCUGAUAUGUAUUAGAAAUCUAAUUUUGUUUUCAAGUUAACAACUAUAGUAGACUGCAAAACAUGGCCACACAUUCCUUCCAUCCCUGUGUGUACACCCUUUGCAAUGUGAUGUUGCUGAUUCCCCUCAAGUGAAGUCUAUGAUUCUGCACACUCAUAGGGAGUAAUAUUUGCAACUUUGAACCAAGACCCCAAGAGACCUUGCAGCUUUGGUUUUGACCCUCUCAGAAUUCUCUGUCUUCAUGUAAAAGGAGCCCAGGAUAGCUCGAAAGAGGAUGAGACCCUAUGUGAAAGAGGUCACAUAGUCACAGAAAAGCAAAGUCAUCCCAGUCAGCCUUACCAGCUGACCCAGCUGAGGCCUCUGAUGUGGAAGCUAGGACCAAAUAGCUGCCCAGUGAAUGCAGCUGAACGAGUGUGCCCAGGUGAUAUCAGAAAAGAACCACCAGGAAAAAACACAAAACUGUGAGGAAAAGUCAGUCAUUAUUGUGUUAAGCCACUGAGUUGAGAUGACUUAUUACAUAGCAAUAAAUAACAGAGAAAUCAUUAAAACACCUUGACAACCAAACAAAUGCCUCACAUGGCCAGCUAGUUACCUCUCGAGUGUGAACCCCUCGAGGACAGGAAGUGAUCUUAUUGAUUUUCGUAUCCCCAGUGCCUAUCAUUGGCUGGUAACUUAAUAUUGAAUAAAUCCUUUGUGAACAAACUAAUGUAGCCACAUGACACUGAGGACAAGCGACAACAUCUUUAAGGAUAGGGGAUUGACUCACAUGCCUUUCUGAUGCCAACAGAGAUCAAUAUUUCCCCCUGCAGUUCUAUAAUCCUGUAUUAGAGUUCUCCAAAAACCAAAAUCAAUAGAAGAUAGAGAUGAGAGGGAGAAAGAGAGAGAGAGAGGCAGCUACUGAAACUUUUCAUGGGAAUCAGCACACGUCAUUAUGGAGACUAAGCAGUCCCAUGAUCUCCCAUCUGCAAGCUGGAGAACCAGGAAAGCCAGUGGUGUCAUACAGGCCAAGUUCCAAGAAUCAAGAACCAGGAGCUCUGAUGUCUGAGGGCAGAAGAAGAUGCUGUUUCACUGCCUACCCCUCCUCCACCUUGUCACUGCUGCCGCCUGGUGUCAGUCACCUUCCUAGCACCUAUCUGGGUGAUAACCUCUGAGGCAGUCUAGGGGGAGAGGGGCAACACCCAGCACAGGAACCCACCAAGCAGGACUUGAAGCUGAGCCAGGUCCCACUGGGAAGAAGGGGUCUCUCCCCUCCAGAUUCCCCUGCCGCCGCCAGCAACUGCCUGGCUGGAGGGAAGGAAAGAAACCAAGGAGAUUUACUGUGCUGCGAAAACUCUGCAUCCUGUGACACGACACGUGCAAACAGACACGGGGCUGCACCCUCCCAGGCGAAGGUCUGUGCACAGCAGACGUGGGGCUAGUGUCACAGAUCCAAGGCUUUAGAACGGCUUGCUCUGCCCCCUGCCAGAGCCCCAGCUUCUCUCUCUUGUGGGCUGCUUCCCUUCAACAGAGAUGUAUACUCAGAUCUUCUCACAUAACAAAAGCUAAAAUCCCAAUGCUUUUCAAGAUUCAGGGUUAGGUGUUUAAUAGAAUGUCCCCCCAGGUGGGGUUUGUCUGAUGUUUUUUUCAUGAAAAGACUAAGUUUAUGGAUUUGGGGAAGAGGGCCACAGAGGUGAUGUGCCCUUCUCAUUAAGGCACAUCAGGAGGCACGUGAUGUCAGCAUAACUCAUUGCCCAUGAUGUUAACCUUGACCAUCUAUCUCAGUAAGGCACCGUUUGUGAGGUUUCUGUACUGAAAAUUUGAUAUAUUCCCUUCCCAUACUCUGUUUAUGAGAAGCAAGAGAAAUUAAUUUCCACCUCCUGGAGAAAGGGGUAUCAAAUAAUUUAUGCAGUGUGUUAAAAUCACCCAGUAAGUAGUAGGUGUAGGGUAGACCGUUGAGGGUUUUUCAAAUAUCCUGUUCUUCCUUAAAGCUUCAUUUACUGAUCUAGCAUUCAUCAAUGAAUCUUGCUUAUAGCAAUCAUGAUUGUGAUGGCCUAACAGUGAUUUUCUACUUCCUUCAUGCCUUCUACAUUGACUUCUGAAUUCUUCUGCAAGGAAGAUUUGUCCCUCCUCCCCCAUUUAGUUAUGUAUUUAAUCAUUUAUUUAUAUCCAUAUGGAUUUAUAAACAUCUAUUUUAUUCUUAGAGUUAUAAUUCAAUAUUAUUAUUGUUUAUUACACUGCUUUAAUUGUUUCAGCUUGGCCAUUGGGAGCUCCUUCAUUUUGGCUCAUGUGGCCUUUUUAUAUGCUCCCCUCCCCUUUUUUUUUCUUUUUUUAGUAUUUUCUUAUUUUAUGGUACUUCAAGUUGCUUCAGGAUCAUCUUGUAUGUUCCCUGCCUCUAGUAGUCCAUCUUUUGUUACUAUUAUGAAAUAGUUUUGUAAAGAAACAAGUUCAUUUAGCUUAUAGUUUGGGAGGUCUAAAGUCCAAGAUCAGCUGGUCCAGCCUCUGGUAAGACCUCAUGGUAACAACACACUUGAGAGGGCAGGCCUCGAAACAGGAGAUCAGAAAGGUUGGGCCCCACAGUCCCAUUAGAGGACAUGUCCCCGUUGAGAGCCUCCCACUAGGACCCACUUCUAAAAGAUUCCACAUCACCCACACUGAGGACAAAGUCUCUAACACAUGAGCUUUGGGAAACACACCUAAACCAUAUACAAACCAUAGCACUGCCCCAGUUCACGAAUUAGCCACUUUUCCAAGGAAGCUUAGUCCAUUUUAUUGGGAAACCAAGGUCUGAAGUGUUAAGUGUGCCUGAUGCUAAUGGAGCGUGACACUUAUAUCAGGCCCUCAUGGCAGACAAAGCUAGCAAAACUAAAUACACACACACACACACACACAGAGUACAACAUAUCUAUAUUUAUCUCUGCAUCUGUUUGAAUGUGCAUAUACACACAUACACCCACAUAUAUAGAAUCUGUGGAUUAUAAAUCUAUGUAUACAGAUCUGUGUCUAUUUAAAUCUAUUACACGUAUAAUAUCAUGUGCGUAUGUCUGUAUUUAAAGGGAACAUGAGCUCAUACUGAUGUCUACAACUCAAAACCAGCUACACAGGUUUCCUUCUAGCCUCCCCAUCCCACCACCAUAACAACCUCCCUCUUUCUCUGACAGUGAGAAACUUGCCUCCCAUUGUAUACAAUUUACCUACUUAUUUAUUCAACACCAGUAUACACAUAAAGUAAUUUCAUUAUCACUACCUAUAACCCAGGACAAAUUUACAAUUGUUUACUUAUGAGUCUUUAUUCCUACAGUAUCUGGUUAAAACAUUGUCUUCCAAAAUUAUUUAUUUCAACUCCUCCCACCAGACAAUACCAUCAGCCAUAUAUAUAGUUCCAUAUAUGUGGUAUAGUUAGAUUCACAUGUUACAUAUGUUAAAUGUUAAUUUUAUCCUGGAAUUGAAUGAUUCUAUAUACUGUUAAGUUCAGUCUUUAUAGAGUUCUGUGGGUUUCAACAGUUUCUUAGUCUUGUGUUCAUUACUCUGGUACCUUACAGAACCGAUCUAUUGCCCUACAAGUUCCCAUGUGCUGUCCAUUUGUGGUCAACCACUUACUGUUCCCUAACUACUUCCCUGAAAAACCACUGAUCUAUUUUCUAUCAUUUUCCCUUUUCAAGAAUGACAUAUAAUAAAACCACACCAAUUGUGACCAUUCAA